rnacentral:rRNA from 1 species
GACGAACCGUGCGAACGUUGUUCGGAUUCACUGGGCUUAAAGGGCGCGUAGGCGGGCGAGCGAGUCCGGGGUGAAAUCUUUCGGCUUAACCGGAAAAGGGCCUCGGAUACCAGUCGUCUGGAGGGAGGUAGGGGCAGUUGGAACUUCCGGUGGAGCGGUGAAAUGCGUUGAUAUCGGAAGGAACGCCGGUGGCGAAAGCGAGCUGCUAGACCUCAUCUGACGCUGAGGCGCGAAAGCCAGGGGAGCGAACGGG